rnacentral:rRNA from 1 species
AUUGAACGCUGGCGGCAGGCCUAACACAUGCAAGUCGAACGAGUGGCGGACGGGUGAGUAAUGUAUGGGAAACUGCCUGAUGGAGGGGGAUAACUACUGAAAACGGUAGCUAAUACCGCAUACCCUCAGAUGUACCCAGGUGGGAUUAGCUUGUUGGUGGGGUAACGGCUCACCUAGGCGACGAUCACUAGCUGGUCUGAGAGGAUGACCAGCCAGACUGGAACUGAGACACGGUCCAGACUCCUACGGGAGGCAGCAGGGGGGAAUAUUGCACAAUGGGCGCAAGCCUGAUGCAGCCAGGCCGCGUGUAUGAAGAAGGCCUUCGGGUUUUAAAGUACGUUCAGCGGGGAGGCGUUACCCGCAGAAGAAGCACCGGCUAACUCCGUGCCAGCAGCCGCGGUAAUAC